AUUAAAAAUUUUCAGGUAGUAAAAUUUAUCUAAACCUUAAAAUCAUGGCGGCAUUUUUUAUUAUUAGAGGAACUUGUUUAUUAAUUGAUAACUCACAUUACUUUUUACUUAAUUUAAUAAAUCUAUAUACCACCAUUUAAAGAAUAUAUCUUAUAUAAAAUUCUUAAUAUAAAUCUAAAAAAAUAGGUAAAGGUAUAAUUCAUAAUUAAGAUUAAAUGCGUUACUUUUAAAAAAAUUAAAGAAUUAUUAUUUAAAAAUAUUUUGAAAAAGAAUUUAAAAGUAAUUUUUAAAUAAUAAUUAAAUUAGAAAUUUUUUAAAAUGUGC
rnacentral:rRNA from 1 species